UGGCCCCAGCCUUCCCCAAGCCGCCUUCGCGCCGCUGGCCGGGUCGACGCAGCCUUCCAUCGCGUAGCGGCCUCUCCUUGAAGAUGUCGGAGCAGUCGCCGCAGGGCCCCGUGCGGGCCGUGAGGCUCUCGGAUGAGGCGGGACCGAGGGACACACAAGCACUGCUGUCUGCAACACAGGCCAUGGAGCUGCAGAGGCGAGACUACCACGUGGAGAGGCCGCUGCUGAACCAGCAGCAGCUGGAGGAGCUGGGGCGCUGGGGCCCAGCGCCCAGGACCCACCAGUGGCGAACCUGGUUGCAAUGCUCCCGUGCUCGGGCCUAUGCCCUCCUGCUCCGGCACUUCCCCAUCCUGGCCUGGCUACCCCGCUAUCCUGUGCGUGACUGGCUCCUGGGUGACGUGUUAUCUGGCCUGAGCGUGGCCAUCAUGCAGCUCCCACAAGGCUUGGCCUACGCGCUCCUGGCUGGAUUGCCUCCUGUGUUCGGCCUCUACAGCUCCUUCUACCCUGUCUUCAUCUACUUCCUGUUUGGCACUUCCCGGCACAUCUCCGUGGGGACCUUUGCUAUCAUGUCCGUGAUGGUGGGCAGUGUGACAGAAUCCCUGGCCCCGGAUGAGGACUUCAUGGACAUCGCAAAUUCCACAGUCAACGAGACUGCCAGGGACACCUACCGGGUGCAGCUGGCUUCCACGCUCAGUGUCCUGGUUGGCCUCUUCCAGGUGGGGCUGGGCCUGGUGCACUUCGGCUUCGUGGUCACCUACCUGUCAGAGCCUCUGGUGCGCAGCUACACCACGGCUGCGUCCGUGCAGGUCUUCAUCUCGCAGCUCAAGUACGUGUUUGGCCUGCAGCUGAGCAGCCGUUCUGGGCCACUCUCCCUCAUCUAUACAGUUCUGGAGGUCUGCUGGAAGCUGCCGCAGACCGUGGUCGGCACCCUGGUCACCGCGCUCGUGGCGGGGGUGGUGCUCGUGGCCGUGAAGCUGCUCAGUGAGAAGCUGCGACGCUACCUCCCGCUGCCCAUACCCGGGGAGCUGCUCACGCUCAUCGGGGCCACGGCCAUCUCCUAUGGUGUGGGCCUACAGCAGCGGUUCGGGGUGGAUGUUGUGGGCAACAUCCCAGCAGGGCUGGUCCCUCCAGUGGCCCCCAACCCACAGCUCUUUGCAAAGCUUGUGGGAAACGCCUUUGCCAUCGCUGUGGUGGGGUUCGCCAUCGCCAUCUCGCUGGGGAAGAUCUUCGCCCUGAGGCACGGCUACCGCGUGGACAGCAACCAGGAGCUGGUGGCCCUGGGCCUCAGUAACCUCAUUGGGGGCAUCUUCCAGUGCUUCCCCGUGAGUUGCUCCAUGUCUCGCAGCCUGGUGCAGGAGAGCACUGGGGGCAACACGCAGAUCGCUGGAGCCAUCUCUUCCCUCUUCCUCCUCCUCAUUAUUCUCAAACUCGGGGAGCUCUUCCGAGACCUGCCCAAGGCAGUCCUGGCCGCUGCCAUCAUCGUGAACUUGAAGGGCAUGCUGAUGCAGUUCAAGGACAUCCCCUCCCUCUGGAAGGCAAACCAGAUGGAUCUGCUCAUCUGGCUGGUGACCUUCGUGGCCACCAUCCUGCUGAACCUGGACCUCGGCCUGGCUGUUGCCAUCGUCUUCUCACUGCUGCUCACAGUAGUCCGAACGCAGCUACCCCGCUACUCUGUCCUGGGCCAGGUGACAGACACGGAUAUUUACCGAGACCUGGCCGAGUAUGCAGAGGCCAGGGAGGUCCCCGGCGUGAAGGUCUUCCGCUCCUCGGCCACCCUGUUCUUUGCCAACGCUGAGUUCUACAGUGACGCGCUCAAACAGCGGUGCGGGGUAGACGUCGACUACCUCCUGUCCCGGAAGAAGAAGCUGAUGAAGAAGCGGGAGCUCCAGCAAAAGCGGCUGAAGAAAAACAAGCGGCCCCGGACCCAGGCUGCUCCGUCCAAGGACACCUCUGUUUCCGUCAAUGUCAACGCCAGCCCGGAAGACAUCAAGAGCAAUGAUGUGGAUGACUCCAGGGCCAAGGUAAACCCAGCAGCUGAACUGGAGGAUGCAGUGGCCAGCAACCAAGAAGACGCCAAGGCCCCAAAUGGGUCCACGCUGAAGGCCCUGGGCCUGCCCCAGCCGGACUUCCACAGUCUUGUCUUGGACCUGAGUACCCUCUCCUUCGUGGACACUGUGUGCAUCAAGAGCCUGAAAAAUAUCUUCCGUGACUUCCGGGAGAUCGAGGUGGAGGUGUACAUCGCAGCCUGCCACAGCCCUGUCGUCGCCCAGCUGGAGGCCGGGCACUUCUUUGAUGGAUCCAUCACCAAGCAGCAUCUCUUCGUCUCUGUCCACGACGCCGUCACCUUUGCCCUCCAGCACCCGAGGUCUGAUCCCAGCAGACCUGUUUUGGCCACCAAACUCUGACCACGCUGCCACCCUGCCUGAGACUGCCUACCUCCAGAGGCUGUAACAGGGCUCCAGAGUGGAGACUGGGGUCCCAAGCUGGAGCACGAUUCGGGACAGCAGGGUAAGACGGAGAGCAGAGAGGGGAGCGGGGGGCCGGGGGCGCGUCUCGCGCUCACGCUUCUCCCAUGCCGCGCACAGCUGUCAGCUCCCCCAGCAGAGCUGCUUCUAGGGAUCAGUUCCAUUCUGGGGGAUACCUCAGCUGGACAGGAUGGCCGCCACCAGGUGGCCCCAGGAGAGGCCAGUGAACCCCUUAGCAGAGGAAGCACGACUGUCCUGGGUGCUGCCAGUCUGUAUUCCGAAACGAGAAUAAACAUCACAGGCUUCCUGGGUGCC